rnacentral:lncRNA from 1 species
CCUUCUGCUUAGCUCAACUCUGUGGUCUUUCCAUUGUCCUUUAUAUAAUAUUAUAUUAUUGGUGAUUGGUCACAUUCUCCUUUGCUCAUUUUUUUAAGGUGGUAAUGGUAGGUUGCAUGUAUGGCUGGAUAUGGACCAUGAGCAGCGGACCCUUUGGUAGUUAUAAACUCAAACCGACAAGUGGAUCUGUAGCCUAUUACUCUUCAGUUAUGAUACAUCUGGGCAGCAAUGAGUCUGCAAAAUAUAGUUUGUUUGACAGGGUGCUAUGAUUAGGUCCAUUUUUGGGUUUAGAUGCUGACGAUUAAUAUAAAUGUGCCUUCCAGUUUCUAGUUAAUAUCUUUAUAUUUUAAAUAACCGUGGUGUUUGGGCCAGCUUGCGUGUACCUCAACUAAUCCAUGGGAUACCUGCUACCUUUCAGCUACAAAGGUAUCGGAUGAUGAUGUCUACCAAGAAUUGGACAGAUGGAAAGAAAUCACCUAGUAUUUUUGCUUCCGUUGGAAUUUGUUCAUUGGCCACUAGGCCAUACUCUUGGGUGGUUAUAGUUAUUGUGGCGUGCUAAUUUGGAAAUUCAUUUUCUUGUCUUAGUCCUGGCGUGGUAUCUAUGCUUGUUUAUCCAAUGUGUUAUCUUUGCUUGGUCAUCCAUGCUAUGACAAGAAAUUGAGCUCUUUUGGACAUUUACAGCUUUGCUUUUGUCCAUUAAAAUCUGUCUCUUUUGAAUGAAACAUCCAGUAACAUAAGUGGCUAUUUGACAGCUUAAUGAAUAUUUUGGACCACUACUUGGCUUAUUACAAGUUCUAGUUUGAGGUAACCUAAGAAAGUUAUUGUAAUUGACAUAUUUGGCAUAUUGCAUAUGGGGUCAUCUAGUCAGAGUGGAAUUGUAACAUGUUGGUGUGAUAAUCUAAUAAUACACCUGCAGAUAAAAAGGUUUCUGAAGAUGAAAGGAGUGUUUUCAAGAGUGAUAUGUUGCCAUAAACUCUUGGUUGAGAUUCUGCAGAGCUGGUCUGUUUAGUGACAAGAACCUCAGAAAAGAAGACAGGUGUUAGCAUGAAACUUUCUUGCUAAGAAAUUAGAAUGUUAAAAGUGGUGAUUAUCAUUAAAAGAUUAGGAAAAGAGAGCAUUUACAACAUUUUAUUAAGAUGGGACCUAAUAGUCUGGUGGGGCUGUGACUAAUUUUUUGGUGCAUUUCCCUGUCUGCUAAGGUGAAGAAAUAGUUCUUGUUUUAAGCAAAAAAUACGUGAUUGGUACAAAUUUUUAAAGUGAUUGCAUUAGGCUGUGGUGGUGGGGAUUUGAGUUUUAUAGUAGUUUCCUAAUCAGACUUGACUUGGAAAGUUUUUGUAACUGAAUUUCCAUAUUUGAGGGACCUUGUAUCUGUUGUUUAGCUCAUUUAUUAUGUGGUCUUUCCUUUGUCCUAAUGCAUAUAUUAUAUAAUGGGUGGUUA